AGCAACAUGGCUCAGUGGAAGUGCGAGGGGCUCGUAACCCAUAGGUCCACAGAUCGAGACCAGGUGUUGCUA
rnacentral:tRNA from 1 species